rnacentral:misc_RNA from 1 species
AUAUAUCAACCUCUUCAGCUUUUGCUCGUUGAGUGUUGGAUGUGGGGGGUCAUUUUUGCUGGUCUUCUAUGGUCAGCUCCCCUGAAAUGCAUUAGCGGAACAAUUUGUGGACCGUUCAUUAGUGUGAUAACUAUCUACGCUAUCGACGUGAAGCAGUUCAGCUUCUAACAGUCCAUUGACUUGGACAAAAUUUUUAUUA